CCUACGGGUGGCAGCAGUGAGGAAUAUUGGUCAAUGGGCGCUAGCCUGAACCAGCCACGUAGCGUGAAGGAUGACUGCCCUAUGGGUUGUAAACUUCUUUUAUAUGGGAAUAAAAUGUUCCACGUUUGGGCUGUUUUAUGUACCAUAUGAAUAAGGAUCGGCUAACUCCGUGCCAGCAGCCUCGGUAAGACGGUGGAUCCGACCGUUAGCCGGAUUUAUUGGGUUUAAAGGGAGCGUAGGUGGAUUGUUAAGUCAGUUGUGAAAGUUUGCGGCUCAACCGUGAAAUUGCCGGUGAAACUGGCAGUCUUGAGUACAGUAGAGGUGGGCGGAAUUCGUGGUGUAGCGGUGAAAUGCUUAGAUAUCACGAAGAACUCCGAUUGCGAAGGCAGCUCACUGGACUGCAACUGACACUGAGGCUCGAAAGUGUGGGUAUCAAACAGGAUUAGAUACCCCUGUAGUC
rnacentral:rRNA from 1 species